rnacentral:rRNA from 1 species
AGAGUUUGAUCCUGGCUCAGAUUGAACGCUGGCGGCAUGCCUUACACAUGCAAGUCGAACGGCAGCACGGGGGCAACCCUGGUGGCGAGUGGCGAACGGGUGAGUAAUGCAUCGGAACGUACCCAGUAGUGGGGGAUAGCCCGGCGAAAGCCGGAUUAAUACCGCAUACGACCUGAGGGUGAAAGCGGGGGCUCGCAAGACCUCGCGCUAUUGGAGCGGCCGAUGUCAGAUUAGGUAGUUGGUGGGGUAAAGGCCUACCAAGCCUGCGAUCUGUAGCUGGUCUGAGAGGACGACCAGCCACACUGGGACUGAGACACGGCCCAGACUCCUACGGGAGGCAGCAGUGGGGAAUUUUGGACAAUGGGCGCAAGCCUGAUCCAGCCAUGCCGCGUGCGGGAAGAAGGCCUUCGGGUUGUAAACCGCUUUUGUCAGGGAAGAAAAGUUCCGGGUUAAUACCCUGGGAUGCUGACGGUACCUGAAGAAUAAGCACCGGCUAACUACGUGCCAGCAGCCGCGGUAAUACGUAGGGUGCGAGCGUUAAUCGGAAUUACUGGGCGUAAAGCGUGCGCAGGCGGUUGUGCAAGACAGAUGUGAAAUCCCCGGGCUCAACCUGGGAACUGCAUUUGUGACUGCACGACUGGAGUGCGGCAGAGGGGAUGGAAUUCCGCGUGUAGCAUGAAAUGCGUAGAUUGCGGAGGAACACCGAUGCGAAGCAAUCCCCUGGGCCUGCACUGACGCUCAUGCACGAAAGCGUGGGGAGCAAACAGAUAGAUACCCUGGUAGUCCACGCCCUAAACGAUGUCAACUGGUUGUUGGG